UGUAAAGAUAAAAAAAUAAAAAUAAUUAACAGGUGUUAUUGAUCCAACAGAUUUGUUUUCAUUGUCCCAUAUGUAAAAUGAAACAUCCUACAUCUCUGUUUUAGUAAAAAAAAAACAUGAUUUUUACAAGAAAUAAUUCAGUAAUGAUUGUCAUCAUUAUGAUUAUGAAAGUGUAACUUUGUGCCAAAGCAUUUUUUAUUACCUUGACACUGUUUCCAAAUGCAAAG
rnacentral:lncRNA from 1 species